rnacentral:tRNA from 1 species
AAGAAUUAACAUUAUUAAUUAAUUCACCAGGUGGUUCAGUUACAGCAGGCCUAAAAAUUAUGGACGCUU